CGGGGUAACGAUCUGAUUUGCUUUGCUUUGCUUUGGGAGGGGUGGCUAUGCCGUUUACUAUUCCAGGCUUGUGCCUCUACUAGUGGAUGGAUUUUGGGGUUGAUUGGUAGGUUCAGUUAUGUUAGUCAGUCCAAUUUAAUGGGUAUGGUUUGAGUAAACGUUUGGUGGUUGGAGGGGAGUGGGUUUUACCUAAGAGGCGGAUAUGAUCGUAAUCGGAAAAAGAGUUAUUGU